UUUUAGUAGUUAAUGGUAGCUUUCGGUUAAGUACUGCCAGUGACCAAUGGAUCUACCUAUGCAUCGAUUAAAUAUUGCUUCUGGAGUCCCCACCUUUUUACCAACUAUGCUACAUAACUGGCAAUAACAAAAAGAGGAUGGUUGCUCGCUGAUCUACUUUUGAGAAACAAUGUCAUGAUACGCAUGAUUUGGUCCGGUCCAGCGAUGGGAAACCAAGUCAACGAAAACCGCCUGGAAAGAAUGGGGCCAACCUGCCACAUCAUCACCCAAUACUCAGCUACGCAAGAAUGUAGAAAUUCUUGACUACCUGAUACAUCGUUUUACCUUUCCCUAACUUUGCUGUGCACGAGAAUCUCUGCUCUUCAGGGCCGUGUUCGAAGAAAAUGUAUACAUUAAAGCUCAGGCUGAAUUUCAGAAUUUCGAAACUGAACGAAAUGAGUUUCAAUCUCUCGAACGUAUCGUACCGAUUACAUGGAGAAUUUUAUUUCUUAGCACGUAUGUUGUACGAUGAUGAAAUUGUACAUGACAAUAUGGAAUUAGAUGUUUUAUAGAUGCGCAUUGGAUAGAAGCAAUUUGAUUGUGUGAAUAUCGAAAAGAGAUUAGAUGAUAAACGUGAUAAAGGAAGGAAGACAAGGAGGAUAA